ACGAACGCUGGCGGCGUGCUUAACCCAUGCAAGUCGAACGGAAAGGCCCUGCUUUUGUGGGGUGCUCGAGUGGCGAACGGGUGAGUAACACGUGAGUAACCUGCCCUUGACUUUGGGAUAACUUCAGGAAACUGGGGCUAAUACCGGAUAGGAGCUCCUGCUGCAUGGUGGGGGUUGGAAAGUUUCGGCGGUUGGGGAUGGACUCGCGGCUUAUCAGCUUGUUGGUGGGGUAGUGGCUUACCAAGGCUUUGACGGGUAGCCGGCCUGAGAGGGUGACCGGCCACAUUGGGACUGAGAUACGGCCCAGACUCCUACGGGAGGCAGCAGUGGGGAAUAUUGCACAAUGGGCGGAAGCCUGAUGCAGCAACGCCGCGUGCGGGAUGACGGCCUUCGGGUUGUAAACCGCUUUCGCCUGUGACGAAGCGUGGGUGACGGUAAUGGGUAAAGAAGCACCGGCUAACUACGUG
rnacentral:rRNA from 1 species